rnacentral:rRNA from 1 species
UAUUGCACAAUGGGGGAAACCCUGAUGCAGCGACGCCGCGUGAAGGAAGAAGUAUUUCGGUAUGUAAAAUUCUAUCAGCAGGGAAGAAAAUGACGGUACCUGACUAAGAAGCUUCGGCUAACUACGUUCCAGCAGCCGCGGUAAUACGUAGGGGGCAAGCGUUAUCCGGAUUUACUGGGUGUAAAGGGAGCGUGGGCGGUUGAGCAAGUCAGAAGUGAAAGCCCGGGGCUCAACUCCGGGACUGCUUUUGAAACUGUUGAACUAGAUUGCAGGAGAGGUAAGUGGAAUUCCUAGGGUAGCGGCGAAAUGCGUAGAUAUUAGGAGGAACACCAGUGGCGAAGGCGGCUUACUGGACUGUAAAUGACGCUGAGGCUCGAAAGCGUGGGGAGCAAACAGG